AGAUGCUCUGGACAUCCGGAAGUUCUCCAUCCAUUCAUUGUCCACGACCAUGCCAUUGAGAAAGUUGUCCCACCAGCGGCUGGUUCUCCCAGGUCUUACCCAAAACUUUCUUCUGGUUGCCCUUCUGGUUUCUCUCUGCGGUUCACUUAAAAACAGCAUGCGGUGGUUCACCCUUGUUUGCUCCUCUACAACGAAGGUAUUGGGUGUUCCUGUAAAGGAUCUACACUUUGCUUUGUGCUCUGUAUCAAAGGCUCUGUAGUAAAUGUGAAUGUGGCAGUGUAAGGGGUGUUCAGUAGCAGUUGCAAGUAGGUCCGAGCUACUUAACCAUUACAAACUCAAACAUCCACAUUUUGGACGUACUGUCCGCUAUCCAUGUACAUAUUGGAAAUGUCCAUGCUCAUUCAAGACAUGGAAUGCUUUAAUCGUUCAUCAAAGAGUGCAUUCCACACACGUUUGUCACACUCAAAAAGAGCUGUAUACUUUCAGCUGUCACUUAUGUACAUGUAAACAUUUAUCAAAUGAAAGGGAGUUCUUUGUUCAUAUCAACACCCAUCUGAGGAAAAAUGAAAACGUUUGUUGGCUGUAGUUUUCAAACUAGCAUUUAUGGAACCUUUAAGUCUCAUAAGAGCCGCCAACACACACCUCACACACUAACUAAACAACAACAUUACCACCUCCAUCAGUACAGGAUUCAAUUGCUGAUUGCCAGGAUGAUGAGUCUGUAGACGAGGAAGUUUCUGGGACAUCCCUAGAUCCAGGUCAACAGCAGGACUUCCUUCAUCCAAGCCAUGGAGGAGGCCUGUGACCAGAUGGAGGUAGCAGCAAUGCAAGGAUGGAUUCGUCAUUCAAGACGUUUCUUUCCAAGGCGCAGGGAGGCGACCCUUUUGUCACUCCAAUGUAGCAGCACUCAGCCGGGGACUUAUGAGUGCGCCUCACACCAUGGGCCACUCCAGAGUAGAAUAGUGUCCAUCCCCUAUCCAGGAGUGUGGUUCCAGAGCCGAGGCUGUGCGUAGAGGUAAGCCCCACCAGAUCCAACUGAUAACGCUCCACCUCCCGCACAAGCUCCGGCUCCUUCCCCCCCCACAGAGGUUAGGUUCCACGUCCACAGAGCCAGCCUCUGCCUCCCAGGUCUGUUCCGUCUAGACCCCCCACGGUCACUGCCACCCUUGUAGCAGCGUGGGUUUCCCCCACAGGUGGUGAGCCCAUGGGGAGUAGAGUCUUGGGUUGCUGCGUCACUCCUUCAGGCUGUCCCCGGCCGGGCUCCGCGGCAAGCCCGGCCACCAGACGCUCGCUGUCGGGCCCUCCAUCUGGGCCUGGCUCCAAAUGGGGGCCCUGGGCUUCCUCCGGGCCGGGUAACUCCUUCCCUCUUCAGUUUUUUUUAAUAGGGUCAUGAAUAAUAACGGAGUAUAUUUUUAGAUGCCACGUAGAUGCUCUUAUUGCCAGUCUCAGGCGGUUAAGAGGGUGUGGGAUGGUUGUGAGCGAAUGACGCCUGAAAAUCCUCACCUUGUUUCUAUAGGUAUGUAGCCAUCUCCUUUCCUUUAUUGCCGUCCUGUGUACAUUAUUUUGUGUGUUCAACUGGAUGAUAUUUUGUCAUUUUUAUUUUACUUUCAUUGACAGCUCCUGAAAUAGGACGUCGUCAUGCAGUGAAGCCAUGGCCAAUUUCCACCUUCACUGGAAAGCAAAAAAAGUAUAAGUUUUCCUUAUGGUUGAAAUGCACUAAAUGACACGUAAUGUUUGUUAGUUUGUACUGCUUGUAGGAGCCUCCCAUCUGCGAAGCAUUGUCGAUGGUUUUGUGGUGACUCCAGCAGAUCUUUCCAUUGGCAUCAUGUCUACUCUGGGGGCCUGUGCAAAGCACUUACGGACUGAGGUGCUGAAUGCUGUUGUGCCCGGUCAUCCAGAUGUUGUUGUCCUUUUGGGGCCAGGAAAUGACUUGACCUGGGGUAAUACAUCUUCAGAUGUUGUGUAAUUUGUUAGCUUGAGUUAGGAAUUGAGAAAAUUGAUUUACUGAACAUCUAUAUAUUUUUUUGGUGGUAGUGGUGGAUUUUCCUCAGAUACCAAGGUUUGUCCUCACAUGAGCUUUGGUGCAGAGACAAUUUGAGUUAAAUAUGCAGAUGUGUAGAAGUGUGAUUUACACAAAUAGUUAGAUUGUAGCUAUCCAGAUCCAUAUUGAUUGACACCAUACGUGUAGAGGCUAGUGAAUUGGCUGUAACAUCUAAAGAAUUGGGUGUGUUUCUGAAACAGAACGCUGUGUUUGACAUAAGCGGGGGCAGUUGAUUUGGGCAAGCCAGAGAGGUACAGCUUGCAGGGGUUGACCAAUGAGUCUGUGGUAAAGGAAAAGAUGAAAUGUUCGAUAGAGAUGGAAUGCGUUAUUGUGCCUUAAUGGAGCAGUCAGUCACACGAAAAGUACUUUGUGGUUGUAGAUUUUGCCGUACGUAAUGACUCUGGGCUGUCAUGUGAAUUUGGCCGGUCUGUGGCACACCAUGUCAGGCAGCUGUGAUGGUGACAGCAGUGGUGACAUGAAUGUUGCAAUUGAUUUUCAGGCAAGCAGUUCUGUCGACAACAGCAUGAAUGUUUCAACUGAUGUUGAAGGAAGCAGUUCUGUCAGGGACGAUAGGAGUAUAAGGAGAUCCUUUCACCAGGGUGAUGACAGGUUUGAGUUUGGAGGAGUUCAGUGCAUGGCCACAGCACUGUUUCGUAUGGCAAAACAGUCAAGAGAGUGUUUUGUCAUUUAGGUGUCAGUUGUACAAAGAUUUGCGAAAAGAAAUCUUCAGCAGCAGGUCUGGUUGGUUGUGUGUUUCUGAUUUUCCCAAGCAGAGACUUGUUGACGGACAAGAGUUUACCUUUCAUUAGGGUAGGGACUUUGUGUCAGGAGAUGUUGUUGAAGGUAUACUCAGAAUGGUAGCUACUCCGGUCUUCUGACGCUGUGUUGCAAUACAUGCGCAAUCAUUCGUGACAAUGGACAGUAUGCAGUGGUUGACUCGCAUGCACGCAAUGCUUGUGGCAUGGUUUAUGGAGAGGGAAAGUGUUCUUGUAUAUUUUUCUUCAAUGGAAGGUGUAUUCCAGGACAUUUUCCUUUUAGUCUCAAGGGUUUGGUAAUCAGCUAAAGUCUUUUGCGAUAAGUGGUGUUCGUGUCACAGACUGCCUCCGUUUGAAAAACCAACAGCUCUGUGUACCAAUCCUAUAACAUUUGGAAAUGCUUUGUCCGAAGUCUGUUCAGAACGCGUUGGGAUCAAAUGUACAAAAGCUGAACGAUAAAACAUCUCAAGCCAAUUCAGAUGUUGAAUUUAUCCAUGAAGUUGUACAAAACAACCUGAAGCAUGUCACAAGCUCUAUGCAAAGAUUUAAAAAUGAAAUAUGCAAAAACAAAGUUGAUCCUACAUGUUUUGGUUCCAUUGGGAGUUCCAUGUAAAAAAAAGUAAUUGCUUCUUUAUACAAUACUGGAUAGAAAAAUUGUGUGUCCUGCUACUUUUUUGGAAUGGACAUAAUAGGCCUUACGAUUCCUGCACUGUCAAAAAAGUUGAUGGCCAAAGCCUUUAUAAUGUUU
ensembl:lncRNA